GCCUUAUCUAUUCAUUUUGUUCGAAAUGUUUGAGCAAGAAAUGUCACUCCAAAAUUUAUUUUUGUUGGCUAUGUGCUAUGUUCUUGGCUUUGUUUGGAUCAUUGUGUGUUUAUCAGGUGCAGAAGGGAAGCUCAUAUGGUGCUCAGUAUCUUGUCAUGAAGUGGGGUGAAUGUAUCAUGUGACUCAACAACCGACCUAAGAAUGUUUCAAGUACUGGGUGGCUUGC
rnacentral:lncRNA from 1 species